GGCGGCAUAGCCAAGUGGUAAGGCAGGGGUCUGCAAAACCCUUACCCCCAGUUCGAAUCUGGGUGCCGCCUCCA
rnacentral:tRNA from 1 species